GGGGGCGGCGGGCGCCAUCUUGUGGAGGGAGGCGCGGGGCGGCGGGAACAUCUUGGCCGUCCGCUGCACGGCCUGUCGCAGCCUGGUGAUGCCCGCACCGUGGCCGCUCCAUCACCCGCCGCCACCUGAGAGGCUCGGGCGGGGCGGUUGAGCCCCGCGGCGCCCGGUGCCAGCAGCGAGGCCCGCCUCACGCUCCUUAGGCACCCUUCGCUUGGCAGCGCUGCUCGCAUCCUUUUAUUAAUUUCUGCUUCACACUUCCGCUUACCUCGCCUCUCCGCUACAGCCAUCCAAGAUGUUCGUUCUCACCAGGGCAUCUUUGCCAAUCUGAGAGAAUAAAGAUCAAAUCCCUACAGAACAAAGAGCCUUGAAGCGCUACAGAGCAGUAGGAAGCCGAGUCAAGCCAUUGGACAGCAUGAAAGAUUUGAAAGCCUGUAUUAAAUUACAAACUUACUGAAUGACCCUCCUGAAGAGAAGAGAUGUCACCUUUCAUUCAGAAGUGGAAAUUUGUCCUCCUAACUGUUUGCAUGCACAUGUGAGAAAGGCAGGCAAAGAGACAGAGGAACAAGGCUGGCUUAGCACCGGAUCCCUAUCAGGAGCAGAAUGCAGCAGGUUAAGCAAUUUUCAGCAGCUGAGCCAGUCUUUGCUGGCUUAUGAGGUGCAGAAGACUUCUGUCCAAGUCCUCUAGCAGCUGCUGUGGGGCCAAGGACUGCUUGAACCACUUUACUGCUGGCAGCUUAUCUCCCACUGAGCAGAUCUGGGGCAGACAAAGGGGAACGGCCCUCUUCUGUCUCAGAAGUGACAGCAUGAGAAUUUGGUCUGUGUAUUUUUUAGGCCUGUUGGUUUCCCAAUGUUUUUUCUGACAAAGCCCUUAAUUCCUUCUAUUGAUGUAAUAAUUGAUCUCCUGACAGUACAGCCUGAAAUGCUGCUAAGCGUUUCAAAUGGGCUCAGAUUAAAUAGCAUAUUAUUUCUCUGUUCAGCUGUGAAAACACCUCCCUGAAAUUAUCCUGUAGGUGAGAUCAGGUUCCUCAACAGGCUACCUCUGAAUUUUCUGUAGCACUUCAGAGGAAAGGGAAGAAUCCCACAGCAUACUGUUUAGGGAUAACCUUCCUGGAGGGAUACUUUCUGGUUAAUCCUUGCCAUCGAGAAGCUGGAUUUUAUGAGCUGUGGUACAGAAAAAAUAAUUUAAAAUCUCAUCUGCUGUAAGAUGUAUAAGUCCUGUUCUACAUUUUCCUGAAUUCUUAGCCUGAAUAAUGCUUUCCAACAAUAAAUUCCACACAUUAUUUAGAUGCCAUGUGGAAAACAUUUCACUGUACCCGCCUCCAUCGUAAUCCAAUGCUCUUCCAUUUCCUGCACAAGGCAGUCAUUUUGUCUUCUCCGUCCUUUGAUAUUCCUUUCUGUGAUGUCCUUGACAUCCGGAUCCAGUGAAGUCAGAGGUAAAGUGAGUGGGAUGGCUUUGUUAGUGCCUGAGGUGCAUUAUAGUUUUGUCUUCUGUUAUUACCAUCCUAUUCUUAUGUGCAUCUAAAACUGGUAGAUCCACCUUUGCAAGUUACUGAUCCUACCAGGUAUUCAGGUUGAUCCACAAUUUGGGUUAUUGUUCCAUAGGAAUAAGUACCUAUGUGCUGUGACAAAUUUACUUGUCAAGUCAUUUGCAAAAAUUUAACAGUAGCUGCUGUUUGCUAUCCAAAGUGUGCGUUCAGGUUCUCUACCAUUAGUUAUACUGGAAGAAGUGAAUGUGUUAGCCUUAUCAAAAUAAACACAGUGAUUUCAAAUCAGCUAAGUGAUUUCUUUGUUUUAAGUCCCGACGUUCUGCAUAUCCUCCAAAGAGUUAAAUCCAUCACAAGCUUGCUAUUUGCCUGAGAGAUUUUACAAAGAGGCAAACUGGUAUUUAGGGUUGGCUUUUUCUUAAAGAAUAGUAGUUUUUGCUGUAGGGACCUAGGUCUGUACUUAAUUGGGGGAGCAAAUGCUUGAAAAGAUACCGUUGGCUUCAGCUCUCUGAUGUCUGAAACACUGAAAAAUGAAUCACCAGGUUGGAAGAAGUACUCAAUUUUAGUUUUCCUCUACAGCCCCAGCACGGAGUCAGGUUGGAUCCUGCAAAUUUAUGACUUCAAAUCAGCUCUGCAUACGUAUCUGCCAUGUGAAUUCCCUGUUCCCCUCCAGUUUAGACUCCAGGCCACGAGUGCUGUGUGUGGGCUGCUGCAGAUACAGGGACCCAGACAUUCAUGGGUUCUGAGUUCGUCUUCUUCCCUCUCCUUUGGCUCAUCUACAAACUUCAGACCUCUUUCCUGGGCAGGGAUUCCACCACUGAGACCCCAGACACUAGGUCUCUAACAGAUUUUGAGUAAAUAAACAAUAGAAGUGCUGAUGAGGACAAAGAUUGUAAAAAAAUUCCCCGGAAAUAAUGAAAGCAUGGUCAGAAGGACAUAGACUGAUGUGCUUGUGAGUGAAUGUGGGCUGGUAGGAGACUGCUGAGCUCACGGUCUGUCAGACUGACCAGAAUUGCCUCAUUGUCUCUUCUUAUUCAUCUCCUGGUUGGUAUCCAUCUGUUGUCUCUUGUCUUAGCAUAUUAAUUUAGGCUCGUAAUUGCAUCCCAUCAUCGAAGAGAUAAUUUUUAAAAAGCUUUUAAAAUAAAUGAACAUUGGCAUUUAACCCAUCCACAAAACUUUCCAGUCUCCAUGCUCUCCCUCAGCUCUGUUCCCCAGUCCCACUCUUGGCCAUUCUGUUCUGCCAGUUAUACCUCCCUGCAUUUCCCAUUUCACUAAUCCAUGACGCCAUUUCUCUGCUCCUGUCCCUAUUUCCCACACAUA